rnacentral:lncRNA from 1 species
AUGGAUUUCCUCUUAAGGUUUCCAGUCUUAGGAGGCAUGGAUUUCCUCUUAAGGAAUAUGCCUCAAAUCCAAACAGAAAGCAGUUGGUUACCCUCAUAACAGUCAUGCCAUUAUUGCAGUUGGGCAUCUUUCCAUGCAGGUUAAUAUUGCACUUCAUACGGCUCAUAGCUCCAUGAGACCUUUGAUUUCCUCACCCACCUCCGAACCCCAAGCAUCCUGCGUAGCAUUUUCUGGUGUCUGAAAAAGCUAGUCAGAAAAGGAGGAAUGCUUGACUUCUCCAUGUCUUGGAAUCCCAGUGUCUGGUGUCAUCAGCAGUAGGGUUUUGUUUUGUUUUGAGACAUUGUCUUUCUAUGUAGCUCUGACUGUCCUGGAAUUCAGUGAUUAUUCACCUGCCUCUGCCUCCCAAAUGCUGGGAUUAAAGUGUGUGUACACCACCAAGGCUGGCCUUAGCAAUAGAGACUUACCAUCUACAUUUGGUGUACAACCUAGAGGAAGUGCAAAGUCGUGUAUUUGGGGAGGAUUUCUAUAUCAGUGUGUAUCUUUGUGGCCCUCUUUGGCAUGAGCAGUAGGCUCUCUUAACCACUAAACAAUCUCUCAGAACUCUGCACUGAGAUUUUUAUUUAGAUGAUUGCUUCUAGGACUAGCAUUGACCAGCUAUGCAGGUUAUCUCCUUUCAGAUUCUUUUAUGAUAAUAUAUUAAUAUGUAUGUAUGUAUGUAUAUGUGUAUAUAUACAUACAUAUACAUACCUAUACAUAUAUACAUGUAUAUAUACACACACAUACAUAUUGAUUGGUGAUUGUUUUGUCUUAAUGUAUGUCUGCACACAUGUAUGCUUGAUGCCCUUGGAGGCCAGAAGAAGGUGUCAAGAUCCCCUGGGGCUGGCAUUGUAGACUUUUGUGAGUCCUCCAUGUGUGUGCUUGGAAUAACAUUUACUUGGUCAUCACCAUUCUUCUCAUGAAUUUGUGAGUACAAGCAUCAUGAGUCAAACAGUAUCUAUUGGCUAAGCAGGUAAUUAAGAUAGAGAACCACGAAUCUAAGGAUAUAUAGCCUAAGCUGGCCUCAAGUUCUUUAUCCUUUUGCAUCUACCUCCCAAGUGCUGACAUAAGAGUAUGCCAUACUUCAGGAUGUCAACUUAAAACAAAGGUAGCAGGAGUAAGGGCUGGAGAGAUGGUUCAAUGAUUUAAGAGUGCUGGCUACUCUUUCAUAGGACCUGGGCUCCAUUCCCAGGCCCUGUAAAGCCAUUCACAGAGGUCUUUAACUCCAGCUGCAGGGGAUCUGAUGCUACUUGCUGGAUUCUGCAGACACUGUGUACAUGUGGUACAUAGACAUGCAGCCAGAACACUCAUACACAUAAAAGUUCAUAUUUUAAAAAGUAUCAGCAGUAGAAAUUACAGAUUUAUUACCAUCAUAAUCACUUCUCUAGAGCCCUCAUCCAAAUUGCUUUUCUAAGGCUAUUCCUUAAAAAAAAUAAGGAUAAUCGUCUUGACUAUCCUUUUGUUUUGAGACAGGGUUCCUCUGUCAGUGACCUGGCCUCACACUUGUAGUUACUCUGCUGUCUUCCAAGUGCUAGGAUUACAGGUGAGUCACACCUGUCUCACUGAAAGUUUCUUAAUAUCCAGUUUUAUGUAGGAAGAGUUAAGAUUUUUUUCCCCCACUCUGGAAUAUUAGCUUGGGUAACUAAUAUCUUAGAGAAAUGUUAAUUUAACAUGGUGGCAUGAUGUCCAGCUAGAGUAGUAAACUAUUAAGAGCUACUUCUAACGACUAAAAAGCACACUUUUGAUAGGGGUCAAUUUUUUUUCCCUUCUGGGAAUAAUAAAAUACAAGAACUCAGUUUGUGGGUUUUUUUUUUGUUUUGUUUUGUUUUUUGUUUUUUGUUUUGUUUUUUUAGUUUUGCUAGUUUUGUUUAGAAGAUUUUGUAUUCAUUUUAAAAUUAUGUAUAUGUGUGAAUGUGUACCAUGUGUCUGUGGGUGCCUGUGGAGGCCAGAAGAGGCUGUCAGGUCCCUUGGAGCAGGAGUUCCAGGCAGUUGUGAGCUGCUGAGGGGUCCUGGGAACCAAACUCUAAAAGAGCAGCAGGUGCUCUUAACUGAGGAGCCAUCUGCUUUUCCAGCCCCAUCACUGUUCUCCCACCCAGAGUCUCUGGAAUGAAUGGCAGGCCACCCUCCCAAUUUUGUUAACCGAAAGUCUACAGUAUAGGCACAGUUUGGGGGAACUGUCUUGUCUUCUUCAGUUCAAAACGAUAUCACAUUGUCCCUAAAAUGUGUAUUUAUCUCCUCUGACAAAAGGUAUUUGUACUCUGUAUUGCCAAGCUGAUGACUAAUGUGCAGUACAGUUAAUAAAUUUAACUGUAUCAUUUUUAUAUCUCACCAGUUUAUUUCUUUUCUUAGGAUUUCUCUUUUUUUUUUUUUUUUUUAAGAUUUAAUUAUUUAAUAUUUAUUUAUUUAUUUAUUAUAUGUAAGUACACUGUAGCUGUCCUCAGACACUCCAGAAGAGGGAGUCAGAUCUCGUUACGGAUGGUUGUGAGCCACCAUGUGGUUGCUGGGAUUUGAACUCCUGACCUUCGGAAGAGCAGUCGGGUGCUCUUACCCACUGAGCCAUCUCACCAGCCCCAGGAUUUCUCUUUUUGAUCCUUCCUUCCUUCCUUCCUUCCUUCCUUUCUUUCUUUUUUAAUUUUUUAUUUAUUUUAAUGUAUGAGAUAUGCUCUGCUGCAUACAUAUCUGCCUGCCUGAAGAGGGCAUCAGAUCCCCCUGUAGAUGGUUGUGAACCACCAUGUGGUUGCUGGGAAUUGAACUCAGGUCCUCUGGAAGAGCAGUCAGUGCUAUUAACCUCUGAGCCAUCUCUCCAGCACCAAUCCAUCAUUUUCUUUAGAUGUUUCUCUUGUUCAGUUAUCUCUGCAUUUCUUAGGUAAAUAUUUUUCUUCUCCUGGAAAGGUAAAAGAAAAAUUUUGCCCAACUCUAAUUCUGGGUCUUUCAUUGACUAGCAGGAUAUAUCUUUCCUAGGGCAAAGUGCUUUUUAGCAAUAAAAAAGCAUUAUCUUUUAAAUUAAAAAUUUGAUGUUUGAAAUUCUAAAUAUGCCUUUAGUAUAUGAAUAAAUAUGCCUACAUUCCCCUUUCUCUUUAUACUUUCUCUUUAUAUAAAUUUAAGAGUGAUCUUUUAGAUUAUUAAGGAUACUACUAUUUAUUUUGAAACUCUUAAGUAUACCUUAGUAUGUGAAUAAAUAUGCCUAUAUGCCCCUUUCUCUUUAUAUAAACUUAAGACUGUUGUAUAUCUUUUAGCUCAUUAAAGACACUACUGUUUAUUAAGGAAAAACCUACAUAGAACCCUUAAAAGAAAGUCAUUUUGAAUUUCAGACUGCCGUUUGCAAGUGGCUUUUUCUUAUCAGCAGACUAUCCCAGCCUUACUUCAUUGUCUAGACCACUAUGGUCUAGAAUUCAGAGGUAUCCUGAGUGCUGGGAUUGAAGGUGUGGGUUGCCACCACCCUGCUCAAAUACUUUACCCCAUCUCUAAAUCAUUGUAACUCUUUAGAACAUAACAAAUUUGAACUGUAGUGGUACUCUGAAUUUACUUAAAACCU